AUGCGCAAAGAACGAAAACUGGUCUUUUCGCAGUUAUGGACUUAUGGACUCUGGUAAACUGCGGCAGAUGUAUGAUAAUGGAGAUUAAUGGCCGAAGUGCUACAAUGUUAACAAUUUACUUGGAGGAACUGCAGGAUAAUGAAAAAACAUGAUUAUUUUGAGACAAUAUAUUUAUUUUUUAUUAAUAUGGAGUUUUCAACAAUAACAGUAUAAUAGUAGGCGUAACAAGAGAGACGAGGAUCUACAACAGUUAUUUAUUUCAUUAAAGUUGUUCGUAUCGUGCUUAGUUGCGACAACAUAAAAAGCUACUGAACACGAAUUUUUCAACUUUAAUGUAUAAUUUCAAUUCUAUCAUUUACUAAAUUAAAAGUUACAUUGUUAGGUAACUAAUUAAAUGAACUUCACACAUAUCAGUGAGAACUAAGAGAUACAAUAUGAAACACUUUUCAUUCUUAAUUGUAAUAGUAAAAUAAAGGAGACUCGUUACGUAAUUUGGAACAUCUUUGGCAUUGUAUUCUAUGCAGAGAAAUUUAAUGUCAGAUUUCCAUGAUACAAGAAGUUCCAUAGUAGUGGUCAUUGAAAAAAUAAAUUUCACAGAUAUCAGGAACCUUGCUCUGCAAAUCGAUAAAAGUUUAUGCAUAGAAUUCAAUGAACAAGUUCCUUUGCUUUUUGUUUUUAAGAUAAAUAUUGAUUAUUAUAGUUUCUUAUUUGUUAAUAUUCCAUAUAUUCAUUAUCUUACUUAGAAAUGUUCUCAUAAUAGAGUAACGAAUGAAAGUUUUUAUCGUAAACCUAAAUAACAAGAAGUUUGACACUUUUUUUAUUCAACUUUUGCUGAUAAAUUUUGAAAAUUGAAGGAAUACACUUCCGUGAUACACGAUGAGAUUUUAAUACGACAACAAUAUUAUUUGGCAGGAUUUUGAAAAUCAAUGUAACAAUAGUUGAAAUUAUGGCAGUGUUUUGUAGUGUAGAAUAAUCUUAUUGCCAUUAGACAUGGAAUUAAUAUAUUAAGGCUAAUACGAUGCUAAUGAUACUUUAAGUACUAAUAUUUAGAGUUAUUUCUAAAAACUAAAGUGCAAAAGUUUAUGUUAGAUUUGUUAAGCAGUAACAUUAGCUUCUAAUUUCUAUUAACUGUGAUCUCUUGCUUUCUAUUCCAUGAAUUUUAUGAAUAGCGUUUGCCUUUUUUCAAAAUUGUAAAUGAGAACACUUCACGAUAUUGAUUUAUCAAAUGGAAAGAAGAGAGCACUGAAAAUAUUCAGUAAUCAAGAACAAAGGAUAGAGUACAGUUCUUUUUUUUCCCUUAUAGUAGAUAGGCCGAUCUUGUGUUUCUAUGUUUUCAUAGUUAAUAACAAAAUAAUUGUGUGCAGUAAUUUUUCUGUUCAAUUUAUCAGUGAGGAUAGAGUACAGAUCUUUGCUCUGAUCUUUCCAUACAAUGUUCCAACUGUACAGGUUCUUGUUGGCGCACAAUGAAGUAGGGGGCUCGACCUUUAAUUCAGUGCAAUAAUGCCUUUUCAGGUAUCUAGAGUAGAAGACACAUACGUACAAGGACUUUCAAAAGACAGGUUUUUGUUUAUACAUUCUGGAACGAAUUCAGGAAGAGAACAUAAGAUCACUACUGAACCAAAUUACUGGCAGAACCCGCUUUAUCAAAGAAUAUUACAACUAUAAUUAAUUCAAUACGUCUAUCUUUGAUUUAAUUAGGCUUAGGGUGACUCUAAACUGGCCCCCUAUAUUAUUUGUAUUUUGAUUAUCUCCUGAAUCAAUUGCAAUAUAUAUUUGUUAUCCAGUAAUAUUUUAACUAACCAAGCCAGUCACGCUUCUCACUUCAAAGGAAAGUACCGAAAUCAUCUUUGUUGUUUGUAAAGCAACAUUUUUAUCAUUACAUGUACAAGGUGCUUGUUCAAGAAAA